CUCUGAUGUGUUGGUGUGACGCUUCUAUCUUCACUCCUCCGAGUAGUUGGGUGCAUCCAAACCUUGUUCGCGGGCAUGUAAGUGUAGCGUGCCUGAAAGAGCCUGCCAGCUGCUGCUUUGCUGUGGUGUAAAUUCCAGCUGUUCCAGUUGGGACGCAAUGUUGCAUGCAUGCAUGUUACUGUACUUUUGACUUCCAAUCUUUGUACUCUUCGUUCGCUGGCGAUUUAUCGUUUGUUGCCUUGGACGCACUUCAAGCUGGGUCUUUGUAUCGCCUACCUGAAUUAUCUACGCGCUUGUUGUGCUGUUGCGGUUUGUGUGUGUGUGUUGUUUGUUUAUCUUUAAAGUUGUACGCGAGUUAUUUUGUUUUUUUGUAUAUAUUUAUACAUAAAUAUAUAUGUUUCUUUGUUUUUUUUUUUUUUUUUUUUUUAGUGUUAAAUUUGUGAUAAUCUUGGGUUACGUGACAUCUUGUCUUGCUUAUGUUGGCAUUGCUCAUGUGGGGAAAUCAGGAAUUGUAUUUAUUUUUUUUGAUUUCAUUAAGAUGGUUUUGUUUGGGUUGUUUUGAUGUAUGUUGGGUGGGAAGAAGGUGAAUGUUUUUGUUUCGUUUGGGUGUUUUGUUUGAUAGUGAUUUAAGGGUUUCUUGUAUUCCAUGAUUUUGUGCCACAUCCAGUGUUGGUACUAGACUAUCGUUGCCCAAGAGAAAAAAAAUCCUAACAAUGAAUAAUUGUUUUUUUGUAUUUUGUUUAAUGUU